CUACGUGCCAGCAGCCGCGGUAAUACGUAGGGUGCGAGCGUUAAUCGGAAUUACUGGGCGUAAAGCGAGCGCAGACGGUUACUUAAGCAGGAUGUGAAAUCCCCGGGCUCAACCUGGGAACUGCAUUCGAAACUGGCAGGCUAGAGUCUUGUAGAGGGGGGUAGAAUUCCAGGUGUAGCGGUGAAAUGCGUAGAGAUCUGGAGGAAUACCGGUGGCGAAGGCGGCCCCCUGGACAAAGACUGACGCUCAGGUGCGAAAGCGUGGGGAGCAAACAGGAUUAGAUACCCUGGUAGUCCACGCCGUAAACGAUGUCGAUUUGGAGGUUGUGCCCUUGAGGCGUGGCUUCCGGAGCUAACGCGUUAAGUCGACCGCCUGGGGAGUACGGCCGCAAGGUUAAAACUCAAAUGAAUUGACGGGGGCCCGCACAAGCGGUGGAGCAUGUGGUUUAAUUCGAUGCAACGCGAAGAACCUUACCUACUCUUGACAUCCAGA
rnacentral:rRNA from 1 species